CUCUGACCUGGACGGUGGCCAGAGCAGGACAAGUGGCUUCCAUACUUAACGGGAGCGCUGAUGCGGGAGGCCUGGAGAUUGUACAACCUCUAGUCCACCGGCGGCCAGACUUGGGGACGUGACGCUGCUGGUGGCGGCGGAGAGGAACCAGUAGCAGCGUCUCCAAGCCUGCUGAUGGCGCUGAGAUCCUGCUGCUUUCUGCCUCAGUGCUAAUUAAUAUCCUGGACGUUAUCAAGAAGAUAUGAGAGAUGACAUCAAAUUCUGGUGAAGAAGGAAGAGCUAGCACAUGGAGGGAUCAGUGUUUCACAGUAGUUUUGAAAGAGGGUGGUGACAGAAGGGAAAAGAGGUUAUCUGGAGGGGAUUCAGCUUGCUUGAUGCCCUCACAGCACGGCGGCUGGCUUCCUCAGAAAGACUGGCCCAAGAAGAAAAGGGAGCGGACCCAAGCCUCUUAGGACGCAGCCUCGGAAGUCACACGGGCCGCUUCUGCCUCGAGCCAGCCAGCACACGUGGUCAACACGUCGGCCCGGCUCAGAGAGGGGAGUGACCUGACGCUCCACCUGUUAAAGGGAAAUUCAUCGCGGAAUUAGUGAGCAUUUAAAACAUCACCACACCUCACUCCUAUCCCGGGACUUGGAAUCAGGACCAGGACUAGGGUGGGACCAGCCUGGGGCCCAGGACACAACACUCCAGGAGGCCCUGGGUUUCGGGUCUCGCACAUCGAAAUAAAUUGUUUUGGAUACUGGUGUUUCCCCAAAA